AUUAGAGUUUGAUCCUGGCUCAGGAUGAACGCUAGCGGCAGGCUUAACACAUGCAAGUCGAGGGGUAUAGGUUUUCGGACCUAGAGACCGGCGCACGGGUGCGUAACGCGUAUGCAAUCUACCUUUCACAGAGGGAUAGCCCAGAGAAAUUUGGAUUAAUACCUCAUAGUAUAUAUGAAUGGCAUCAUUUAUAUAUUAAAGUCACAACGGUGAAAGAUGAGCAUGCGUCCCAUUAGCUAGUUGGUAAGGUAACGGCUUACCAAGGCAACGAUGGGUAGGGGUCCCGAGAGGGAGAUCCCCCACACUGGUACUGAGACACGGACCAGACUCCUACGGGAGGCAGCAGUGAGGAAUAUUGGACAAUGGGCGCAAGCCUGAUCCAGCCAUGCCGCGUGCAGGAUGACGGUCCUAUGGAUUGUAAACUGCUUUUAUACGAGAAGAAACACUCCGACGUGUCGGAGCUUGACGGUAUCGUAAGAAUAAGGAUCGGCUAACUCCGUGCCAGCAGCCGCGGUAAUACGGAGGAUCCAAGCGUUAUCCGGAAUCAUUGGGUUUAAAGGGUCCGUAGGCGGUCAGGUAAGUCAGUGGUGAAAGCCCAUCGCUCAACGGUGGAACGGCCAUUGAUACUGUCUGACUUGAAUUAUUAGGAAGUAACUAGAAUAUGUAGUGUAGCGGUGAAAUGCUUAGAGAUUACAUGGAAUACCAAUUGCGAAGGCAGGUUACUACUAAUGGAUUGACGCUGAUGGACGAAAGCGUGGGUAGCGAACAGGAUUAGAUACCCUGGUAGAAUCACUAGUGAAUUC
rnacentral:rRNA from 1 species